AGUAACGCGUGAGGAACCUGCCUCAAAGAGGGGGACAACAGUUGGAAACGACUGCUAAUACCGCAUAAGCCCACGGCUCGGCAUCGAGCAGAGGGAAAAGGAGCAAUCCGCUUUGAGAUGACCUCGCGUCCGAUUAGCUAGUUGGUGAGGUAAUGGCCCACCAAGGCGACGAUCGGUAGCCGGACUGAGAGGUUGAACGGCCACAUUGGGACUGAGACACGGCCCAG
rnacentral:rRNA from 1 species